ACGAUUUGUAUUACUCUCUCUCUCUCUCUCUCUCAAUCUUUCAAUUAUCGUUUGAAAACCCUAAAAAAACAUCCUCUACCUCUCUCUCUCUCUCAAUACGAUGGGCGACAUCAUCUUCUAGAAGAUCCGAUCAUCUAAUCAACGAUUUCGAUCAUUGCAACAUUAUCUUCUUGAAGAUUCGUUCAUCUAAUCGAUGAUAAACUGAUAAAACCCACAAAUCGCUAUAGGAAUUUGCCGCCCUUCAUUCAAAUUUCUUCAGAUUCUUGAACAAUUGAGUUAUUGUGUUUUCAUCACUUCAAAUCUUUAAUGGAUAGUUAUUGUGUUUUCAUCACUUCAAAUCUUUAAUGGAUGCUGACAGGUUGAAUUCACCACAGACCUCAGCUGUUUUAUUUGAAGUUAUGGGAUACCUGUUACAAUUUUGAGGUAAAUUGACGAUGCUGGUGGUGAUGGAAGACGUCCAAUUCCUCCAAUUUGAGCCGAAACUGGUAAGAUAUUGUAUGCAUUGCCAAGCACAUGUUAAGGGAUUUGACCACCGUGGCUCUUGGAAAUUGUAUAGGCUUUGGCGCCAUUGUCCCAAAAAGUGACCAACACAUGCAUCCAACAAAAAUAUAACGUACACAAGGGUGGGCGGAUUUUGAGUUGAAGACAUGUAGGAUUGCCUUAGUAAUAUACCGGUUAUGAUAUGCUGCUUUUAUUUAUUAAAUUUUGUAACUUGGUAAUAAUAUUUGAAUUCUAUGUUAUGUGUGACAAUUUAAUAUUGAUGCUUUAAAUAUUUAAACUUA